rnacentral:ribozyme from 1 species
AAAGACAAACAAAAAAGAGAAAUAGAAAAAAGAUGAAGCAAAGACGAGAUGGAUAAAAAUAAACUUUUAGUUGAUUUUUGAUUUGAUCCUUUUUUUUUUUUUUUUUUAAAUUUUUAUUUUCUGAU